AGACUAGGUCAUGUGAUAUGUUAGAGUUAGAUAGACUAGGUCAUGUGAUAUGUUAGAGUUAGAUAGACUAGGUCAUGUGAUAUGUUAGAGUUAGAUAGACUAGGUCAUGUGAUAUGUUAGAGUUAGAUAGACUAGGUCAUGUGAAGGGUUAGAGUUAGAUAGACUAGGUCAUGUGAUAUGUUAGAGUUAGAUAGACUAGGUCAUGUGAAGGGUUAGAGUUAGAUAGACUAGGUCAUGUGAUAUGUUAGAGUUAGAUAGACUAGGUCAUGUGAUAUGUUAGAGUUAGAUAGACUAGGUCAUGUGAUAUGUUAGAGUUAGAUAGACUAGGUCAUGUGAUAUGUUAGAGUUAGAUAGACUAGGUCAUGUGAUAUGUUAGAGUUAGAUAGACUAGGUCAUGUGAUAGGUUAGAGUUAGAUAGACUAGGUCAUGUGAUAUGUUAGAGUUAGAUAGACUAGGUCAUGUGAAGGGUUAGAGUUAGAUAGACUAGGUCAUGUGAUAUG